UGAGAACGUUGCAGCGCUGUAAAGCGCCAGUGUAGCCAAGGCCAGACUGUCAACUUGCUGGAAAUCUCACUGCUGAACCCCUGCAUUUUGAGGACACCCUCCACCGAUGUCAAUCAAGGUGCAAACCAAGAGGGAGGAGACUGAAUGAAUUCUCUGAUAUCGUUGACUUGAUGAAUUAAGGGCUAGUCUACACAAAUUGCUACAGUGGCUGUAGCACUGCGUUGCUGUGGCACUGCUAGUGCAAACACUCGAUGCCAAUGGGAGAGAACUCUCCCGUCGGCAUAAUUAUUCCACCUCCCUGAACAUCAGUAGCUAUAUCGGCGGGAGAGCGUCUCCCCCUGACAUAGCGCUGUCCACACGGGCGCUUAGGUCAGUGUAAUUUACCUCACUCGGGGGUGGCUUUUCCACACCCCUGAGCGACUUAACUUAUGUCAAAAUAAGCACUAGUGUGUACAAGCCCUAAGAGAGAAGUGUGGUCCUGGAGACUCAGAAGAUGGCCAGUUCACAGCCAGAGGAACCAUCUGGAUCAGAGGAAGAUAUCUGACCUGGGGAAGAGAUCAUGUGCACUGACAGCUUGUGGCAACUAAGGACAAAGGAAGAGAUGAAAAAGACAGAGGAGUGGAAGGAACAGCAUGACAAAGAGAAGGAAAAAGACAGGAAAAUGGCAUGGUCCUAACAAACACAGCUGCUGGGAUACAAAGGCGCAAAGCUUCCUUGGAAACAUGCUAGCUCUCUGGUCAAGGACUGCUUCACAGCCUGUGUGUCCCCAGCUACAAUGCCCAGAAACAGGUCCUGCUCCAGGCAUUAUGUGCCAUGGGACAACAAAGAAAAUGGUAGACAGUGAGAGAUACCCGCAAGGGAGUGGCCCUCCCACAUCAAAGAUGCAGACAACAGGGUUGAGUUGUCUACAUGUGCACAUUUGUGACCUUAAAAGCAGAAACUUGUCUGCAUGCUACUCUUGACUGUAGUAUAUUUUUUUCAUUUACUAUUUGCAUAUUGGUAUGUAUGUUAAUAUUUUUUCUGAUCUAAACAUUUACAUUGGUAUAUUGUUUAUUAAAAAUACUU